UCCAGGCUAUGAGCUGUUAGCACAGAGCCCGAUGUGGGGCUUGAAUCCACGAACCAUGAGAUAAUGACCUGAGCCAAAGUUGGACACCUAACCAACUGAGCCACCCAGGUGCCCCCAGUCUCGGCUUCUAAGGGGAAGAAUGUCUACUAGGAUAUAUGGCAACUUUUAAAAAACAUAAAAACCAUUUUGCUGAAGUACAAUAUGCAAAGAAAAAAGUGCACACAUUCUAAUGGUACAGCCUGAUGAAUCCUCGGAAGGUGAGUGGCCCAUGUCACCAGCUCCCAGAACAAGAAGCACAUCAUCCUCUGUGCCCCAAAGUCCUCCCCUCUCAUACUCCCUCCCUCCUUCACCUAACCCCUCUCAAAGCUAACACUAUUUCGACUUCUGAUGGUGUAGACAAGUUCUGUCAGUACAGCAACUUUUACCCACUAGGAGUUAUUUCUGGGGUUUGGCAUUUCUCCCUUAACCUCACACACUUAGAUGAGGUUUGCAUUUGUGACAAAUGCUUGUGUUUUACAGGACAGAGUGAUGGGACCAUUUUCUCCUCCCUACUUUCCUGUGGGGCCACAGAGGGGGAACUUCUGCCCUCUUGGAAAUGUCAGGAAAGUAACUCUUCUCCUUCCUUCCCCUCCUUCACUCACUCCCCCUAUGAGUGGUGGAGUGACAUCUGAUUCAUGGGAUGGACACAGGCCCUUAUUCCUUAUCCCUAGUCUUCCCUUGGGGGAGGACCAAGUCCCAGACAGGUAGAGUAUCUUAAAAUGGUCAAGAGACAUACUGGAUUCAAAUCCCAGCUCCAUCAUUUACAAGCUGGGUGACCUAGGGCAAGUUGCUUAACUUCUCUGUGCCUUAGUUUCCCCAUAUUUAAAACAGGACCAUAAUAGAUCCUGUCUCAAGGAACUGUUAAAAGAUUAUCAAACAAAGGGUGCCUGGGUGGCUCAGUCCGUUAAGCAUCUGACUUCAGCUCAGGUCAUGAUCUCAUGGUUCAUGAGUUCAAGCCCCACGUCAGGCUCUGUGCUGACAGCUCUGAGCCUGGAGCAUCUUCAGAUUCUGUGUCUCCCUUUCUCUCUGCCCCUCCCCCGCUCAAGCUCUGUCUUGCUCUCUCAAAAAUGGAUAAAUGUUAAAAAAUAAAAGAUUAUCAAAUAAAUUGAGAAAGCUUCAUGGGGAGGGCUGUGGAGCCUGGCUACUGUUAUUAUUAUUAUUAAUGGUCUGUGGUCCCACAGGAGGGAGACUGUGUCCAUGCAGGACCCACAGCCUGCCAAUGAGAGGUGCCCCCCAGCAUAAUGCCCCAUCAGUGCAGGUAAAUGGGUCACGGCUUGGUGAAUGAAUGAAUGAACAAACGAAUGAAUGUUAUUGCAGAGGCCUCUAGGCACCUCCCCUGCCCUUACAGUGCCCUCUGAGAGUUUCCUUAUCUUAAGCGAGAGGGGCCAUUCUAACUACCUCACAGGGCUUGGGACUUGAUAGCGAGAGAUAGUGAAGGUUGGUGAAUAAAUGAAUUAAUAAUGAGAAGCACUAAGAAUCAAGUCAGGCUCACAACGCAACAAGGUGAAUCAUUCUCACCCAUUUUGUUUCCUGCCUGGAGGUUCCUGACUGCUCCCACACCUAUCCCUCCACCUCAUCCAACCCCCUUCCUUCCACAUGGGCUACCAGCGAGACUUCUGUGUAUCCCCAAGUCCCUUGAAUGGCUCCCCGCUGCCUGUAAGGCUCACCCAACCCCCGUGGCAUGGAACCUGGCAGCAAGAGCGCUCCUGUUAAAACCUAAGCUGGAACAGUUCCCUCCUCUGUCCAGAGCUCUCCUAUAGCUCUCGCUGCACUCAGAGUAAAAAAAUAUAAUUCUUACCAUGGUCAACAUCUCCUCCUACUCUCCCACUCUUCUCCGGCCAACUGACCCCUACUGCUGUUCCACACACGUGCCAGGCACACUCCUACACCAGGGCCUUUGCACUUGCUGUGCCCCUCGGCCUAGAACCUCUUCCCAAUGGACACCCGCCAGUCUCACUCUCCCACCUCCUUCAUGCCUUUACUCCGGUAUCUCCCUCUCAGUGGGGACUUCCCUGGACACCUUUCCUAAAAUGGCAACUCCUACCCCACUCGAUACUCUUGAACCCCCUUCCUGCCUUAUUUUUGUCGGUAGCACUUAUUACCACCCAGCACGAUUUGUAAUUUAGCUACUCAUUUUGCUUAUUGUCUAUCUCAGUGACUGUAAGUCCAAUGAAGGGAGGUGCCAUUUCUAUCCGAUCCACUGUUGUGCCUCAGUGUCUUGAACACUGCCUAGCACAUAGUGUGUGCUCAAGAAACAGUUGUGGAAUGAAUGAAUGAUCUCAUUCCAGGCAGAUUUUCACCCACAUCCCCCACUGCUCUCCCCUCAAGUCCAAUACCCCCCCCCCCGACACCGCCCAACUAUGCCAUGCUACAUCAUGCCUCUGUGCCUUUGCAAAUGCUGUCCCCUCUGCCUGGUCGGAGGAAAAUAUGUUUCCUUCCCUGCUCUAUAAAUUCUUACCCCUAAAACCCGAGGUCUGUCGUUUCCCUAUCUCCAGAAUAUUCUAGAAUAAGCCUCUAGGCCCACAUCGUUAACUUCUUCCUUUGAGCCUUCCACUGUAGCCAGUACUUGUUUCUGCACUUUCAUGGUUUCCUCCCUCCCCUCAGUGGGAGUCCGUAAAUCGCUUUCCUGGCUUAAACCAAUCUCAGUUGGAUUUCUGACAGAUGAUUGGGAGAUGGGACCCUCGUGUUGCUGAGAGUGGUUGUAUGAUUUUCCUAAUGCAUAAAAUAAAUAAAGAACCAUUGUUAAUAUUUAACAUAUUGAUGUCUUAUGUUCCCCAAAGAAAACAUUAGGUGUUUCAAUGAAGGAACGUGCUUGAUAACUCUGCUUGGUUUCACAAAUAUUAUUGGGAUUAAAACCCAGGGAGUGGUUAGUGGAUGGACGGGUAUACGGACGGAUGGCUGAGUGGAUCGGUGAGUGGACAAGCGGAUGGACAGAGAUGAACAGACGGAUGGGUAGGCAUGUGGGUGGGUGAACAGUAACCAAAUCCUGACCACGGCCAGUGGAUGGAUACAAUGGGUCCGUGAAUCAAUGGAUGGGUGGCUGGACAGGUGGGAAUGUGAAUGGAUAGGACGAUCAGUGAGUGGAUGGAUAAGUGGACAGACAGAUGAGGUAGAUGAAUGGAAGGGCGGAUGGAGGCAUGGGUGGAACGGGCAGUAUGAACGGGCAAAUGAAAGGUUGGGUGGGUGAAUGAGGGGACAGAUGAAUGAAUGGUUACUUUGAGUUUAUGAGUGAAGGUUUUGGGGUAUGUGUGGAUGGAGCCACACAUCACAUGGAGACCCUCCGUGCCAUGUCUGACUACCACAGGGAUAUGUCCUGUUUCCAGGGGGAGGCUUCUUGGGGGCUCACAUUCCCCAAACAGACUUUCGGGAGGCGGAGGAAUUCUGAGGCAAGGAACUGACGACCCGCUGAGAUCUGCAGGGCGGGGGUUUGUGAAAGAGGAAGGAACCGUCCAACAUACCUGCGAGUCCUCUGACCCGUCAUCUACGUCCGCCGAGGUCCACUCCUGGGCCAGCCUGGUCUCUUGAGAGGACAGACCUGAGGGAAGGAGAAAGGAGCCAGGAGCCUCCCGCAAAACCCAGUGAGGUUUAAUCCACGGAAUGAAACCAGGAUGAAGCAGGCUUCCCCAGCUUCCAGCCCCUGGUGGAGCAAACUCCCCACAUGAGGACAUCAACGUCUUUCUCGCUCCUUAGCUGGUGAGAACUGGGGGUCAGGCCAAAGAUCGGCAUUUUCCAGUCUUCCUGCACCCAGGCCCUGCUAGGAGCCCCCAACCCCCUCCCCACUACCAGGACGGACACCCAUAGCAUCCACGCCUCUGCCCGGCGGCUGUUCCUCCCCUCUGGGAGAAGGGAAGACCCUGCCCCAGUAGAAGGUCCAGUCCCCAUUCUGCUGCGGGGCUGCCUUUCGGGGGUCCGCGUCUCAGCAAAUGGCACCACCCCUUGUCCAGCAGUUUGAGCCCAAACCCCAGGCAUUAUCCUUGGUGUCUCUCUAGUCCACCCCUCCUCACCUCCAUCAGCAAGAACUCACGUUCUCCCUCUGGUCACCAUAACCUCCUGGAACACAGCAAGCUUGUCGCCACGGAGGGUCAUUGCAUGUGUGGCCCUGGCUUCUUUCAAAACUUGUUUGUUGUUGGUUUCUCCACUAAAAUCUGAGCUCUA